UGCUUCCUCGGGAGGCAGCAGUGAGGAAUAUUGGUCAAUGGUCGGGAGACUGAACCAGCCAAGCCGCGUGAGGGAGGAAGGUACAGAGUAUCGUAAACCUCUUUUGUCAGGGAACAAAGGCGGGGACGUGUCCCCGGAUGAGUGUACCUGAAGAAAAAGCAUCGGCUAACUCCGUGCCAGCAGCCGCGGUAAUACGGAGGAUGCGAGCGUUAUCCGGAUUUAUUGGGUUUAAAGGGUGCGCAGGCGGUCUGUUAAGUCAGCGGUCAAAGCCCGGGGCUCAACCCCGGCCCGCCGUUGAAACUGGG
rnacentral:rRNA from 1 species